ensembl:lncRNA
GCACUUUGCACUGCCUUUUAGGACUUUUGGUUACAUACCGAGUUAAUUGCUACUUUGUUUUGAUGGCCACCAUGCUGCUAUCUUUAGAUGAAGAAACAUGGUUUUUUUUAAAUCAGAAGUGGGACCCUUCAAGGAAACUUGUCCAAUAUUUUUUUUGCCAUAAAUAUAGUUAGAACAUGAUGCAGCCUCUGAUUUUUAAGCUGUAGCAAUGCUUGUUCUCAAGUACCAACACAGUAGAAAAGCCACGGCUGAUAGUCAAGUUGGUCUUUGCAUAGUGCCUAGGGAGUACAAGACCAGCUUUCUGGAAUCUGUGAAAGAAAGACUGUUGCUGAUGAGCCGUUGCCUGGUAAAAGGCUUACUUCAGACACACAACAGGGAUGCUACUGUCACAGUGAGCAGAAAAGAAUGAAAGAAACAUCAAAGAAAAAAGUGAACAGGGUAAUUUGGUACAGUCAGGUGGUACAAGAGAUGUAGGAAAGAGGUAAGCCUUUGAAAGUAAUAUACCCCAGGAAAAAAAAAAAGCCCACAGUUAAGACCUAGUCAAAGUUGAUGCUGAUCUCUCAAGUUAAUGUUGUCAGGAGUGAAAACUUUGUGGAAGAUUGGCUGUAUUCCAUUUUUUCAGUUCUGUGCUCUUUUAGGAAUGUUAAUUUUUUUCUUGGAUAAUUAGAUGUCUGAUAUUAGAUGCAUAUAAGUAACAGGGGAAAUGGUUUGCAUGCUGACAGUAAUAACACUGAUCCGUUUGCCAGAUAACUGUUCUGGCCUGUUUUUUCAGAAUCAUUUUAUUCCCACAAACAACAGCAGACACACCUGACAACAACCACCUGGAUUUCUCUGCAGGGGUGAAAUCCUGGGACCUUUUACUGAUUUCAGUGGUCCCAGGAUUUUGGAUGCAUCCUCAAAAUUUCCCUUUAAGAUAAUCCUCUUCCAAAAUAUUUUUUUCUUUUGAUAGCUUAUUGGGAAUGACGCCCCCUUGCCAAUAGAAUAAUAGAACUGAAACUUCAUGUGCAAAGCUGUGUUGCUCAGGGAAGUCGCUUUUCAGAAUUGGCACAGAAGCUUUUACUGUAAUUUUCAAAAUGUGCCUCUCUAGGUGGGAGGGAGGUGUGUUCUCCUUAAACUAAAAAUCAGGUUUAUCUGUUUUCUGUUAACCAAAGUUCAGGACUCUGGUGUCAUUCAUGUCUUUUAGAAAAUUGUUCCUGUCUUUUUUGAUCGUCUAUUUACCAGCUGCUCAGCAAACAACACCUAACAACAAAGGACUGGGGGAAAACUGGUGGCAGCUGCUUGUUAUCAUGUACCUUAUGCUACUUACAACUUAUUUUUUUGCAUUGAGAUCAGAUAAAGUUUUGGUUCAAUAGAAUAAAGCUUUCAAUCCUGGCUUUUUAAGGAGUAAAAAUAUGGACGUGAGGUGAGUGAAGCCAGCAUCAGAUUACUUUUGGUUUUGUUUCUGAGCACAGGAUCCAGGAGUAAUUUUUAGAUGCCUAAUAAUAACAAGGAAAAUAGACCUGAACUGUUUGGGACCAAAGUGGUAUUAGGAUUUUCAGCUAAGUGCUCAAUUAUGAUACAACAUUUCUGUUCAGGUCAAAGUGAGGCAGCUUUCACAUCUGUGGAAGAAGAGAAAGGUCCCUGAAAUAUUUUUGAAAAAUCCGAUGAUGAUCUGAGCACAGUGCAUUUCAGUUCAUGAAGAAAUGGGUUUUAACAUACAUUACAAGCAUCCUUAUAACUAACUCUAUGGGGUGCAAUGGGAUUAAAAAAAAAAUCCCAAAGAAGUCAAAACCUUUACCAACUAUCUGCAGGUACGGAACAUCAUUCAUAGCUCUGCACAUUCUUUUCUUUUGAAUGUGGAAGAUAAAAAUAGAUUUCCUACACAAAGUUCUCAUUAGGGGGUCACACAAAUACACAGCAGACAUUUUGUUCUGAAUCAGAGCAUUCUCUACACUACUUCUUUUGAUGUAUGGAAUCCUUACUGCAGGGAUCUUUCCUUUUACUGUCUAUUAUUGUCUAUUAUUCAACAUGGCAACAAUAUAUGAAGCUGUUACUGAGCUAAGCAUGCAGCAUAUUAACAUAUCUGUAUAUAUUUAUAAAACUACUGUUUAGCUUCUUUUUUUCUUUU